rnacentral:rRNA from 1 species
GAGUUUGAUCCUGGCUCAGAACGAACGCUGGCGGCGUGCCUAAUACAUGCAAGUCGAGCGUGAUCCGGGGGCAACUCCGGUGAAAGCGGCGAACGGGUGAGUAACGCGUAUGCAACCUACCUAUAACAGGGGGAUAACCCGGAGAAAUUCGGACUAAUACCGCAUAAAACAGGGGCUCCGCAUGGAGAUAUUUGUUAAAGAUUUAUCGGUUAUAGAUGGGCAUGCGUUCCAUUAGCCAGUUGGUGAGGUAACGGCUCACCAAAGCAACGAUGGAUAGGGGAACUGAGAGGUUUGUCCCCCACACUGGAACUGAGACACGGACCAGACUCCUACGGGAGGCAGCAGUGAGGAAUAUUGGUCAAUGGGCGAGAGCCUGAACCAGCCAAAUCGCGUGAAGGAAGACUGCCUUAUGGGUUGUAAACUUCUUUUGUACAGGAAUAAAAAGGGGGACGCGUCCCUUAUUGCAUGUACUGUACGAAUAAGCAUCGGCUAACUCCGUGCCAGCAGCCGCGGUAAUACGGAGGAUGCGAGCGUUAUCCGGAUUUAUUGGGUUUAAAGGGUGCGCAGGCGGGCUUUUAAGUCAGCGGUGAAAUCUCGGGGCUUAACUCCGAAACUGCCGUUGAAACUGGGAGUCUUGAGUAUGGAUGAAGUAGGCGGAAUUCGUUGUGUAGCGGUGACAUGCUUAGAUAUAACGAGGAACUCCGAUUGCGUAGGCAGCUUACUAAGCCAUANCUGACGCUCAAGCACGAAAGCGUGGGGAUCAAACAGGAUUAGAUACCCUGGUAGUCCACGCCGUAAACGAUGAUUACUAGUUGUAUGCGAUAUACCGUAUGUGACUAAGCGAAAGCGAUAAGUAAUCCACCUGGGGAGUACGCCGGCAACGGUGAAACUCAAAGGAAUUGACGGGGGCCCGCACAAGCGGAGGAACAUUUGGUUUAAUUCGAUGAUACGCGAGGAACCUUACCCGGGCUCGAACGUAUGUUGAAUAAUAUGGAAACAUGUUAGUCGUAAGACAGCAUACGAGGUGCUGCAUGGUUGUCGUCAGCUCGUGCCGUGAGGUGUCAGGUUAAGUCCUAUAACGAGCGCAACCCUUACCGUUAGUUGCCAGCAAGUAAAGUUGGGGACUCUAACGGAACUGCCUACGCAAGUAGAGAGGAAGGUGGGGAUGACGUCAAAUCAGCACGGCCCUUAUGUCCGGGGCGACACACGUGCUACAAUGGUCGAUACAGAGGGCUGCUACUGCGCGAGCAGAUGCUAAUCUCAAAAAUCGAUCUCAGUUCGGAUCGGAGUCUGUAACUCGACUCCGUGAAGUUGGAUUCGCUAGUAAUCGCACAUCAGCCAUGGUGCGGUGAAUACGUUCCCGGGCCUUGUACACACCGCCCGUCAAGCCAUGGAAGUUGGGGGUACCUAAAGAAUGUAACCGAAAGGAGCGUUCUAGGGUAAACUUGAUAACUGGGGCUAAGUCGUAACAAGGUAACCGUA